UUUCAUAGCAAGGGCCGAGCAAGACCGGUGCCAGCCGCCGCGGUAACACCGGCGGCUCGAGUGGUAACCGUUAUUAUUGGGUCUAAAGGGUCUGUAGCCGGCCGGAUAAGUCUCUUGAGAAAUCUGGCAGCUUAACUGUCAGGCUUUCAGGAGAUACUGUCUGGCUCGAGGCCGGGAGAGGUGAGAGGUACUUCAGGGGUAGGGGUGAAAUCUUGUAAUCCUUGAAGGACCACCAGUGGCGAAGGCGUCUCACCAGAACGGACCUGACGGCAAGGGACGAAAGCUAGGGGCACGAACCGGAUUAGAUACCCGGGUAGUCCUAGCCGUAAACGAUACUCGCUAGGUGUCGGCCACGGUGCGACCGUUGUCGGUGCCGUAGGGAAGCCGUGAAGCGAGCCACCUGGGAAGUACGGCCGCAAGGCUGAAACUUAAAGGAAUUGGCGGGGGAGCACCACAACGGGUGGAGCUUGCGGUUUAAUUGGAUUCAACGCCGGAAAUCUUACCGGGACCGACAGCAAUAUGAAGGCCAGGCUGAAGACUUUGCCGGAUUAGCUGAGAGGUGGUGCAUGGCCGUCGUCAGUUCGUACUGUGAAGCAUCCUGUUAAGUCAGGUAACGAGCGAGACCC
rnacentral:rRNA from 1 species